AUUUGCAGUAGAUACCUUCUAGGUUCAGCUAUGGUGAAAGGUCACUUUGACGCUUGAGAGGGAAAUCUGUGAGGACAGCACUUGCUCAGCCACAGCAACAGGAUUGGUCCCCACCAAUGGACUGGCCCUUCUUGCCACACUGAAUACAGCUGGUCACAUCCAGAGAACUUUUUUUCUGAAUGUUACCAGGUCUUGAGGAAUGCACACAAUAUGCUUAUCCCUGGAACUCAAGAAGACUCUUCUCAUUUUCCUCUGUGACUGCAUUCAAAUGUCAUAUCAUCAUUUAAAAUGUCUCACAGUUUGUUUGAAUUGUGACUUGUACAAUAAACUCAGUUUAAUCUGACAGACAUGAGCCACAAACCUCGGUUUGUUUACAGACCCAAGUUUGUCCAAUUUGGAGCUCUAGCACCCAGCAUGCAGAACAACCUGUUUAACUGUAUCUGGAACUGAAUUGCUGUGAGAGGCAGCACUGAUCUACAAACUGGCUUGUAACUUUAGAUGUCACAAGAAGUUCCUGUUAAUUUUAUCUGUAUUGCUAUGACACAACUAACCAUGUUUUGAUCAAACCACCAUUUCUAAGCUAUGGAUUAUUGUGUCAUUUGAAUGCUGCCUACCUGUCUACCUAAUAAAGGGUCAUCAU